GGGGGACAGGGAAUUGAGGAUGGACACAGGAGUUCAAGGGACUUGGUGGCUAACCAGUCGAGACAGAUAGGGAAGCUCCAGGUCGCGUUUGGUCAUUGCAUUGUCACAGCAACAGGAUGAGACUAGAACAGACAGCCGCUAAACAAAGACUGACUCUCAAUUGCUGCAUGGACAUUUGUAAACAGCCAAUCACAAAAAUAAAGCUAAGAGGCAAUGGUGUUGAGUGACCC